rnacentral:rRNA from 1 species
AUUGAACGCUGGCGGCGUGCCUAAUACAUGCAAGUCGAACGGAGUGGCGCACGGGUGAGUAAUAUAUAGCUAAUCUGCCCCUUGCUGGAGGACAACAGUUAGAAAUGACUGCUAAUACUCCAUAGCAAGGGAUGAGACUAUAUCGUAUCAGCUAGUCGGUGGGGUAACGGCCUACCGAGGCUAUGAUGCGUAACUGGUCUGAGAGGAUGAUCAGACAACUUGGAACAGAGACACGGUCCAAACUCAUACGGGAGGCAGCAGUAGGGAAUAUUGCGCAAUGGGGGAAACCGUGAAGCAGCAACGCCGCGUGGAGGAUGACACUUUUCGGAGCGUAAACUCCUUUUGUUAGGGAAGCGGUACCUAACGAAUAAGCACCGGCUAACUCCGUGCCAGCAGCCGCGGUAAUUC